UCUUCUUUGUUCAAUUCUUUUCCGCAUCUUAAUCGACAUAACUCCCCUGACACCCUUUAAAAACCGAAGACCUCCACUUUCUCAUCUUAAUUCCUCACUCAAUUACUCUAAUUGAUUGACAUUAAUGGCUAACCCCACAACUCCUCUCUCAGAAGCUUAUAAAGGUCACUUUCCUACAAAUCUCACCAUCCACAAACACGUCUGCAAUCACUCUACCAAAUUUGAUCAUGGCAUCUCAAUCUCUCCGUCUCUCUGCCCAGCAAAAGAGUUUCCACCUUCUCAACAAAAUUGAAGGUGAUUUCUGCAACCAUGAAAUCAUUGCUCGGUUGGUUCAUUUUUAGGAGGCCAUAAAUUUCAAAAAAGGAAACAUACUCAUAGGUCUUCAACUACUGCUCAUCGACUCCGAGUUCAAGGUUUCAUCCCAGCAAACCGUAUGUUCCGCUACGAAGACAACCUCCAGACGAACUCAAUUUACAGGUUGAACAAGUUCAUGGUCACCGAUUGCAAAGCCCUUUACAAAGUCUCUGACCACCAGAAAAGCAUUCUCUUCAUCGACCAGACGGCGCAACAACGACCUUUGGUGAGAAGCUUUGCGAGCAAGUUGACGAAAGGCUAGACUGUUAUGACAUAUGUGUUAUCCCAUGUAAGAACAUGGAUGUAAUGAAAAUGUGAAAGAGAGUGUGCAAAACAAAGAUGAGGAAGGUAAAGAGACAGCGGAUGAGGCCUCCACAAAGAAAAGCAAGAAGAAGAAGGCAAAGGUGAAGAAGAAGAGGAAUAUGGAGACGGCAUAUGAGAAUGCAAAAUCAGAGAAGAAGAAGAGAAAAGCUGGAGGAGGCGAGGUGACUGAUGGUCACCAUAAGAGAAAAAGUCUAAGAGUUAGGAUGAUGACAAAUAUGAACAAACCCUGUAUUCUAUACUUUUGAGCUAAAUGUUUUAUUUUUGCUAGCAAC